AGAGUUGACUGAACCUGUGGUCGGAGGAAGAGGAGGAGGAGAAGGAGAGCUGAUAUUCACGGCGUCAACAUCGUCAUAGGAUUCUUCCUGGUGCACACUGCAAGUGGAUCCCGAGCAGUCUCUGCAGUUUCUCCUCCUGCAGACGUAGCUCCAUGGAGUCCACCACGUCGUAGAUGUUAUCCAGAGACCACAUGGGCGAGGGGAACCACGCCUUGAUGUCACCAUCCUUGCCCACCACCAGCAUGCUGAAGUAGUCCUUGCUGAUCUUCAGCUGGUCGCGCAGGUUGUUGACCACAUCGCGGGACAACUGCUCCACUUCACUCUGACUGCGACCUGGAGGCAUGGUGACGGACGUAAGAAGUACAGUAAUAUGAAGACGGUGGAACCUCUUGAAAGGAAAAUCCAAAAUGGACUAAUCCUUUUGAGAAAAAUAUGGUAAUUCAUGAUAUUAUAUUCCAAAUGAGUCCACAAAGCAAACCAAACAGAAAAAUGCGAUGAUGACCAAAAAACGGAAUGGACUCACCAUUGAGAGGAAAUAGCUCCACAGUCCCUGAGGCUUUGUCUCCAACCCCAGUUAGCUUCAACAUGGCAAAGUGACGAAUACCUGAGAGACCGUAGACAAUGGAAUCUACAGGUGGUCUUAAAUUCAUCUCUAUUUGAGUCCAUCCAUAGCAUAAAGGAAGCCCAUCCAUCUAUUCAUUUUUCAUACUGUUUCGUCGUAGAUAAGCUGGAGCCUAUCCCAGCUGACUUUGGGCGAGAGGCGGGGUACACCCUAGACUGGUCAACAGCCAAUCGCAGGUCACAUAUACACAAACACCCUUGUCACAUUCAUAUCUAUGGACUAAAGUCAGCUGGGAUAGUGUACAGUCUGGGUUUUUCUUGGUUUAUUUUGGUACUUCAGUUUUGGUCAUAUUAGGUGACAGGUCUUAUUGUGAUUUUGAUUGUGUUUUGCUUUUUUUCUUACUGCUUGCACGAGGCAGGGGGCGUGACUAACCUACAUUCAUGGAGCUGCAGCUGCUAAUUUAUCUGCAUUAAUUUCAGCAUGAGGUUGUUGGUUUUUUCGUCCUUCUCAGUUUUAGCUACCUGCUGCCCAGUGCUAAUCAGUGUGGCUGGCUUGCCCUUUUGCCACCUUCAUUUGUUGAUAGUUUCUCCUGCCUUCCUUGGUUCAACUUUAUUUUUUUUUGCUGAAACAGUUGAUAAACUGUUAAAUAAACUGCUGAAAGCGGUCUUCUGCUU